AUUUUCCCAAUUAUCUCUCUCACUCUAAGCCCCCUCUCUCUCUAACAGUGUUCUCUCUAACAGUAUAAAAUAUAACCUAAACACACUCUUUGUCUGUUCACACAAGGGGAGUUUGUUUCGCAAGGUAUUGAGUGAUGUUUAUCAUCACAGAGUCAUGAUUAAACUCGAAAAAAAUGAUGCCUAUCAUCAAAUUCGUGCUGUAUGGCGCGGGAUGACCCUACACUCUAUAAAUAGAUGCUCGAUAAGCCUUCGUGCUCUACAAGAAAAGAAAAUCAAAGACUUUUUUUAUCAGCGCGACGGUGGAGUGGUAACAACGUUCUCUCAUAAAAAUAGGCAACGGUGAACGAUGGUAUUGAAGAUCAAUUUCACUGAACGAGGGUAUUAAAGGUCAAUCAAGAAAUUCCUUUAGACGUGGUCUAUUUUUAGUACAAGAAAUUCCUUUGAACGUGGUCCUCACUGAUUCGAGAUGGAAGCUCUUUCUGUGUUGGUCAGUUUAGUCUCAAAUCAAGUUAGAACCCGAACAGUUGUUGAUGUUGGUGCUGGACAGAUUGGGAAGGUGUGAGAAACCUUGUGUCAGCAUUGCCUAGGUCACUAAAAAGAAUUGUUCUUGUUUCAUCGAUUGGUGUCACAAAGUUCAACGAGUUUCCUUGGAGGUAAAAUGCUACUUAUAUUUAGAGUUCCAUAAAUGACCCAUCAAUUUAUAUAAAUUUCUUGUUGAUGUUGCCUUUGGUGUGUGCAUCUGUGAAGCUAUCACAUGGAUUGGAUUCCUUUCACUGAUAAAAACAUUCUUCUUUUAAUUAACAGAAAAGGGCCUAAAAUGCCCUUCAACUAUGUGAAGUGGUGUAAAAAUGCCCUUUAUCUACCUAUUAGGCCUAAAAUGCCCUUGCCGUCUACCUAUUGGGUCUGUUUUGCCCUUUAUUUAACAUCUGAUUAUUGGGUCCACUUUAUUUAUGACGUGGCAAUUUUUUAUCGGACAAUUAAUAUUUAAUUAAACUAAUUAAUUUAUCCUCUAAAUACCCAACCCACUCAGUCAAAUAAACCGACCCAAACUAAUACAACCCACUCCAAUUCAUAAAGCAAAAGAGAAAUCCCCAUUCAUCGAUCAUCUGUUUAUAUCUCCUCUCUUUUCUCAAUCGACUCUUCUUUCUUAAAAAAAAAGUAGUAGCUUCUUUUGUUUCAAACCUGCUGUUCUAAAUCCUUAGAACAUAAUACAAUUUUUUUUUUGCAAUGCAAGUUUAUUUCACAGUAGAUUUCCAAUUAAAUAGUUCCAUGCAAGUAUCGAGUCUUGACAAGAACUUAUUCAGAGAUUUACAUUGUUUAAUUGCAUAUGAAGAUUUAAAAAGAAGUACAGAGAUGUUAUUACAUUGUUAUUGAAUCUGUUGAAUGCAGAAUUUUGUUAGCACCUGAAACAGACCACUAAAUCAGAAUUAUGCAGACCAUUAAUCAGAAUUGAAGAUUUUAUGACGGAAUGAUUUCUUUAUUCUAUCAUUCUUUUUAGUAGUUGCACGGCUUCACUAGUUUUACCAAUCUUAUAGUAUCCAUCUAUCAGAGUGUUAUAACAUUCAGAGCUCACCCUUUCGAAUGAAGCUUAUUGAGAAGCCUCAAUGCUUGUUCAAUGUUCCCUACUUUACAAAGGCCAUUUACUAGAGCAUUGUAUACUAUAAUAUUUGGAACAAGAUCCUUUAUUAGCAUCUCAUCUUGCCAAUUGAAAGCUUCAUUAACUUUACCAACCAAUGACAUACCAUGGACUAAGGUGCAGUAGGUAAACUCAUCGGGAGUAAAGCCUUUUAAGGAGAAGUAGUUUAUAACAUCUCUUGCGUCAUCAAUCUUCCCCAAUUUGCAUAACCCUGCCACAUCAAUAUUAUACAGGACAUUAUUUGGAACAACACACUUUCUUACACUUCUAUCACCUAUUACUGUCUUAGAGUUUGAAAAACUCUAAAGUUGAGUGCAGGUGUUUGCUGGUGUCAAGUUGCAUGUGUGUGAAUAAAACACCAGAUGCAGAUGAUAGGAUACAUACAACUAAUACUCAUGGAAGUUUAGGCUAUAAUUAAUGUGUAUAUACCUAUCUGUAAUUCAUGUGUUGAACUAAUUUUUGGAGUCGAAUUUUUGCUUUCCUUCCGUAUAAGAUGAUCUAUCACUAUGUGGGAUUACACUAGGUAUGUUGUUGGUAUUAUUAUGAUAAAAACAGUACAUUAUCAACAGUUUCACUCUGAAUAAGGGGAAUGCUACAUUAUUAUUGAUAUUUUAAAAGUUGGCAUUCAAGCAGCAGAACAAGUAAUGGUUAUCAGAACUAUACAUUGACAUCUAACUAGACAUAGACACUAAUAUUUUUUCCUAUGCAAUCAGGUAUUUCAAUUGAGAUUCCCUUCUAGUCAAAGAAAAAAUAUUUCUUUCCUAAUUACUUAAUGUUAUGUAAAGUGGGAUUGAGGAAGUUCAAGGAUAUGGGAGAGAAUAUUAUUGCUUCUACUUGCAUUCCAAGGGGAAUGCAGGUCAAAAUAUGUGGUUGUAUAAUUGUUGGGUGUUUGCUGUAUUCUUUUGAGAUCUGUUUAAACAUGGACAUGGAUGUAGUUCCUUAUUUAUGAUUCAGUUGAAUUAGUUGAGUUAUGAUCCAUUGCUACUCUAUAUUGAACUAACCCACUUUGUCGCAAGCCAAAUAAUGGAUGUGUCAGCCGUCGGGUAGAUCAGUUCAUUUAACCUUCCCAUUUGACCCCUAUCCAGCUGGUGUGACGAAAUAUAGAGAAGGUGGGGGGCAUUUCAAAUCCAGUAAGGAACAUGAAUCUUUUUUUCAAGAUAGAGGGAAAUGUCCACUAAGUAGUUCUCUCUUCUGUGGUGGUCAAGAGGACAUGCACAUCAAGUCAUCCGAUGUUCAGAAAACUAUACCAUAUGUUUCUUAGAAGAAGGAAGGAGGAGAAUAUGAUUAUAGCGGAAACAACCAACAUGGUGCUUCUAGAGGAAAUUGGUGGCAAGGGUCACUUUAUUACUAGAAACAUGGCCUCUGAGGCCCCAAGACGUGAAUUCCCGUUUAUUUAGUAAAAGAGUUACUCAAGUCUUGAAACCGACUUUAUAUAGAUUUGUCGAAGACAACUAGUACGCCAAUGUGUUUGACAGACUAAAAAAGUUUUUAUUCCGGAUUCUCUUCAUGGCUGUUGAACCUUCAUAUGACAUGGACCUUUUUUAAUAUUUUUGUUUCAGUGCCUUGCAAAACUGAGAUUUUGGAAACUGUAUUAACGUCUCUGUACUCCUUUUUAACUCUUCAUAGGCAAUUAAACAAUGUAAAUCUCUGAAUAAGUUCUUGUCAAGACUCGAUAGUUGCUGUAACACCCCGUACUUAAUUACGUGCAUUAGCCAUUGUUAUA